CUCUUCUUGCCGACAUCGCCGACUCGCCGUCCUCGGCCUCCCGUGAGGCUGUGACCGGCGCCGGCGGUGACCCCGUCCUCUCCUCAUCUCCUCUGCCGCUCCGGCCGGCGGCCUCCUCGGGGUUCCCGGUUCCUGAGUCCCGACGGACCCGACCUCCUCGGCUCCUCCCAAGUCCCAGGGGCCAGCCGGCCAAGCCGCCAGGGCCCAGGCUCCCACGGUCCCACUCCCACCGGGCCACCUCCCGAGACCCGAGUGGGCCGAGUCCCGACCUCCUCCCCUCACUCCCUCAGGCCUCAGUCCCCUGUAACUAUUGGUUGUGACUUCACUACUUCAGCGGUUCGGCACUAUUCGGCCUCUUCUCGCCGUCGAGUUCGGAACUAUUCCACCUCUUCUCGACACAAUUAAGUUCGGCACUACUUGUCGGGAUCCAAGUUUGUUUUUCUUGACACAAUUAAGUUUUAUCAUUUUUAACUUUUUAAA